GUGCCAGCAGCCGCGGUAAAACCAGCACCUCAAGUGGUCAGGAGGAUUAUUGGGCCUAAAGCAUCCGUAGCCGGCUCUGUAAGUUUUCGGCUAAAUCUAUACGCUCAACGUAUGGGCUGCCGGGAAUACCGCAGAGCUAGGGAGUGGGAGAGGUAGACGGUACUCCGUAGGAAGGGGUAAAAUCCUUUGAUCUAUGGAUGACCACCUGUGGCGAAGGCGGUCUACCAGAACACGUCCGACGGUGAGGGAUGAAAGCUGGGGGAGCAAACCGGAUUAGAUACCCGGGUAGUCCCAGCUGUAAACUAUGCAAACUCAGUGAUGCAUUGGCUUGUGGCCAGUGCAGUGCCGCAGGGAAGCCGUUAAGUUUGCCGCCUGGGAAGUACGUACGCAAGUAUGAAACUUAAAGGAAUUGGCGGGGGAGCACCACAAGGGGUGAAGCCUGCGGUUCAAUUGGAGUCAACGCCAGAAAUCUUACCCGGAGAGACAGCAGAAUGAAGGUCAAGCUGAAGACUUUACCAGACAAGCUGAGAAGUGGUGCAUGAGCC
rnacentral:rRNA from 1 species